rnacentral:rRNA from 1 species
GACAGAGGGUGCAAACGUUGUUCGGAAUUACUGGGCGUAAAGCGCGUGUAGGCGGCUCGGCAAGUCGGAUGUGAAAGCCCUGGGCUCAACCCAGGAAGUGCACUCGAAACUGCCGAGCUUGAGUUCUGGAGAGGAAGGCGGAAUUCUCGGUGUAGAGGUGAAAUUCGUAGAUAUCGAGAGGAACACCGGUGGCGAAGGCGGCCUUCUGGACAGCGACUGACGCUGAGACGCGAAAGCGUGGGGAGCAAACAGG